CUCAUCUAUCUGUGGUCCCAUGCAGCCCUGGAAGAGGAUCCACUAUCGUCGCUCAGGCUGUUCAUCCGCCUGCUCCUCCCCUUUGUGGGCAGUGAUCUAGCACUCACCAUGUCUCAAUUUCGGAGCUCGCUUAAGGUCCCCCACCGCACCCAACGCAGUACUCAAAGCAGGACAGAAAGGACUAUUCAUGCCUGCACAACAAAACGAACCGGCAGGAAGCCACCCUAAACAACCCUCAUUGUCUGACUUGCAGAUUUAAUGGCUCCUCAAAAGAACCUAAAAGUUUUCCCAGCCACAUGCCUCCAAAAGUGGCAUACUAACAAAGGAAACAAAGAAUUUGAUACUCACAGAUCCCAACAGACAAGGAUAAGCUAAGUAUCUCCAGUUUCAUCAGUUAAAAAAUGUAGAAUGAGCCUUUGUACAAACACCAAAAAGUACAGAUAUUCCCUUGCAGAGGACUAUAUUGCCAGUUCACUCAUCAUUCAUCUUGCCAUAGCAUAUCAGUGUUGAAUUCAUGGAAAGGCAGGAAGAUUUGUGAGAAAUGUGAAGAUAUGGAAAGA
rnacentral:lncRNA from 1 species